rnacentral:rRNA from 1 species
UACGUAGGGGGCAAGCGUUAUCCGGAUUCACUGGGCGUAAAGGGAGCGCAGGCGGCAUGGUAAGUCUGAUGUGAAAACCCGGGGCCCAACCCCGGGAGUGCAUUGGAAACUGCCAGGCUGGAGUGUCGGAGGGGUAAGCGGAAUCCCUAGUGUAGCGGUGAAAUGCGUAGAUAUUAGGAGGAACACCAGUGGCGAAGGCGGCUUACUGGACGACUACUGACGCUGAGGCUCGAAAGCGUGGGGAGCAAACAGG